GCAGACAGUGCCCGUGCCGGGGCGGGGAGGCGAGUUCUCCCUGCGGCCGCGGACCCUGGAUGGUGGCGUCGCCCGAAGACGCGCCUCACCGGCCUGGGUGGGGUUGCCUUUUGCCCUCGAGGCUGGCCUAAGCGCUGGGGGGCCGCUGGCUAACCCUGAGGUAGAUACUCGGGAAAUGGGUGGAAUAGGGAAAGGGACUCAGCCCUUCCGCCCUUUUCCCCAGUCGAGGCCCGCGUCACUGCCCUGUGGGUGCAGACGCCUCCAGUGUCACUCCCCUGGAUUUCGCUUGGGCAGAAGAAGAGAUUGUAGGCCGGACCCCAACGCCGAAGCCCUGAGGCUUCUAAUGUGAGGAAAAACACGGAAUGACAAGUGUGGGAAAGAGCAAGCACUAAAUUACUGUCAGAAAAAUAAACGGAGUAGCACAGUGCUGCUCGGUGAUUUACGGGGGCAAUUAGUCACCACCCCACGGCGCUGCUGAGGACAGCACGGCAGCAGACAAGUCAGGCCCAUGAGGAAGAAGAGGCUUUGCACUGCUCUCCAGACAACUUUUCAAACAACAAGAGAGGAUAUUUGAGCACAUUAGGUUUUGUGUCUUCAUUCUGGGUACCUACUCUUCAUAUUAUUCUACCAACUUAAUACAUAAACAUAUUUUUAGCACAAUAUGAACCUGUUCUAUGUGUGUUUAAAAGCCUCCAGCAGCAACUUUUUUCUCUCCCACUGUCCAAAGUUGGGUUUUCCCCAUCCCUUAAAAAACAAAACAAAAAAACCUUUCUUCACUCCAAAUUGUCCCCCUGGUGUGUGGUUUUGGUCUUUCUCAUUACUUCUUGCAUCUUGCUACAUGUUCUGCAUUUGCUCAGAGCCACUGGGUGCUAAGGAAUUUGGUCUGCUGCUCCUCUGGGAAAGUUUGGUAAGCUGGUACAAGGAGGUGAUGAACAAGGCUAAAUGAAAAUCAUACAUAAACUUCCCAAUAUUUGUGAACAUGUUCUUUAACAUACCAUACAUAGUUUCUAUGUAUAUGUAACAUAGCAAAACAAACUUGCUAAGGUAUAAUUAAUUGGUAUGCAUGCCUUCAUAAAUAUUCACCAUCAGAAGAAACCUAGAAUGAAAGGUUGUGAAAGAACCCAGGAAUGAGAAAGACUUUAUUGACUAAAGGCCAUGUCUAUGUAGGGGCAACAAUGAAGCUGUGGGUGAGCAAAUGAAGCUUCAUCAGGAGUUUAGUAUCCUUAUGUAGCAUUACCUAAGAAUGCUACCAUAGUAAAUUUCUGAAGUACUUUACCUGUUACAAAGAACGUUUGUAAUCUCCUUUUCUUAUUUGAUCUUGCCCUGGCUUUAGUCAGGAACACCUGCUCAGUUAGAAAUGUAUUCGGUGGGUAUGUACGCAGUUGGAGAAUGUGCCCCAACACACGCCGCCUUUGGCCUGUAUGUUGGAGUCCUAGAGAGGCAGACAAUGUUGAUGAGCUUGGUACCAGCAUGGUGCGCCAUUCAUCCGGACACAAUUUCUGAUAAAGAGGGUCACAACUGGGAGAAACCUCAGAUUCUACUUGCUUCUCUUCUCCACGUUAUUAGACUUUUUUUCCCCUCUUGAAUUUUAUAAGCACACUCCUUUUAAAACAAUUAAUUAAUAACGAGCACUGGGAUUUGAUGUAGAAUUGCGUAUUUGUAACUGCAAUGGCACUGGUUUUCAACUACCCUGUAACAAGGAAGCAAUUCUAACCAGCAAAAGAGGCAGACGUGUUUCUGUGCAACAUCACAGGCGUGUGAAAUUGUUCAGAUAUUGAGAUAUCAGGAGUGAUAUAAAUUGGAAAUUUAACCAAAAAUAUUUUCCAUCAGUGAACAAAGCCGAUUUUAAAGUGCCUCUUGCAUUUUUCAGAUCUUUCUCUUUCUUUUUCCCAAAGUCACAUUGUAGUUUCUGAUAAAGGAACACACUGGGAAAACUAAGCACAUAUUUAAUCAAUGAAAUUUAAGGUGUAAAAAUUCUGCAUUUCUGACAAAUUUAAUGUUCACUUUUUUCUUGAUUUAAAUAGAGCAUUCUAAAAAUAUUACCCCUAUAGGGGAUAAAUUUUUAUAUGCAUGUUAUUUUUCUUUACAAAGUGUGGGCUAGUAAAGAGUGAAAAAGACCUUGGCUAUUGUACUUAUUUCUUGAAAGAAAUAAUAGCAUCUUAAUGACUGGAUUCAAAUCUCUGCUUAUCACACAACUUCCGUACAGUUCAAAGAGAGGACUUGGAUUGAAUGAAAACAGAGAGCUGGGGCUUCCUACAUUCCCCUGUGUUUGUGUUCAUACAGAAUAUUUAUGCAAUAUUCUGACUUGGCCAUAAUCUGUAAUUCCUGCCUAUUAUUCUCAGUUGCAACUAUAAAUUCUAGAUUAAUGGUUAUAAUUUUGGUAAGGCAUACAUGAAAAGUUAUAUGUUCCUGCUUGAAAGGAGGAUCAUUAAAUAUUCAUUAUUACCACUCAAAUUAGUUGUCAUGCUCUGUGUAAUAGUUACCCGUUAUCAUUUCACUAGUUUGGAUUCAGCAGUAAGUGAACAGCAAUAUAUAGCUCAUAGCGCCAGAGGACUUUUUUUGUCGGGGAACAGGGAGAGAAAUGAUUUUAAAACCCAUUUGACAUAUUUAUGUUGACAAAUUAUUUAAAGGAAUUACUGUGUUGUAAUAAACAUGUUUGUAUGUUGGAAUAGGAUUGUGGCUAAAUUUGCUUCUAGCUGUUUAAUUACUCUUAUUAUGAUUGUGAAAAACAGUGCUUCUUCAAGUAGUUCCAAGGAAAAAAAUAGAAAAUGGAAAAGUUGAGCUAUUUCAGUCUUUUGCAGGUAUCUAACCUUGCCAUGAAAAAGCACUUUUCAUUUUUGUAAGUAGAUAUUGAAAUCUUGCUUUUUCAGCGAAGCUAGAUUGUAUAAUUUAUUAGUUUUCUCCACCUGGUAACACAUCCUUAAGAAAAAAAUUGCCAAAAGUAAAGCAUGAGAUGGAUUUUAAAAUAAAUGUUGUGGAUGAACAC
rnacentral:lncRNA from 1 species